AUUAUAAUAACGCAUAAUAAAUUUAAACAAGAGUAGCACAAGUUAAUGACAUGAAUAUUAAUUCCUACAGGAACAGCACACCGUCAUCAAAGAGCUAUACUAUUAUCGAAGAGAAACGGCUUGAAUAAAUUGAAUUAAAGAAUACCAGAGAAGAAUAUCAAAAUGUCAAAAUGUCCAAGGAAUGUCCAAGGAUAGAGGUGACAAGAAAUAAAAUAAAAUAAAUGAUGGUAGACAGUGAUACGUGGCACAAAUAAAUUAAAAUAUAGAAAAUAUAUAUAGAAUAAUUGUAUGCAAACAAACCAUAAUUAUAUUAAUAUUAAUGCCAUUUACAGAACUUUGUACCAUCGUGAGACAAAAUAAACUAAAUCUUAACAGUUACCUUGAUUCAAUUUAAUUCAGAAUGAAUGAACAAUGACAGCAUGAAAUGAACGACUGAACAAUGAAAUAAUCAGUUAAAGAUAUUAAGAAGAAUGAGGUAAAUAAUGAGGUAAAUAAUAAAUAAUAAGCAUAAAGUAAAAGUGAAGGCCGUAACCAACCUAAUGUAAAUAAUGUAAUGUAAUGCACUGUAAUAUAAGUAAUGCAAUAUAAUGCAAAACAGAAUGCAAUAAUAAACUGAAUACAAAAUACAAAAUAGAAGAAGUGAAUUCAAUAGAUAUAACCGUAAAGAUUAUUAACUACAAUACUCUAUUUCUUUACCAGAGUAGAUUAUAAGUUAGACUGUAACUGGUAAAUGGUAGAUGAUAAAUGGUCAUGUCAAUACAACUGCAAAUAGAACUAAUUAAUGAAUGACAUAUCAAAAUAGAGUAGCUAAAGUAACAAAUAGAUGAAAUGAAAUAUAAAGUACGUAGUUCAAUAAACACUGUACCAGUGUAUGAACUGAAAUAAGAAUAAAAUGAAAUAAAAUAGAAUAAAUAAAUAAGUAAAUAAUAAAUAAGAGUACAUGAAUGAUAAGAUUAUAAUAAAAUUCACGCACAAUCAAAGCAUUUGGAUGGACAAAACCACUUAUCAUAGUAGAGAUAGCAAAACUUAAUUAAAAUAAGUAAAAUAAGGUAAAAUAAAUCAUAUCCAUUAACCUCAAUUGAUCAGAAUGAGUGAGUGAAUGAAUAAUGAAUGAGUGAAUGGAACGAUUUAGGAAAUAAAGAAGGUAAGAAGGCGUGAGUGAGAGCAAAAAGCAUGGAUGUGUCAGAACGAAUAAACAAUGAGAGAAUGAAAGAAUGAAUGACUGAACAGUGAAAUAAUCAAUUAAAGAUAAUAAAGAAGAAUGAGGUAAAUAGCAAGAUAAAUAAUAAGGCAUAAAAUAUAAAGUGAAGGCUGUAACCAACAUAAUGUAACUAAUGUAAUGUAAUGUAAUGUAAUGUAAUGUAAUGUAAAACAAAAUGAAAUAUACUAAAUAGAAUACAAAACACAAGAAGUGAACUCAAUGAAAUAUAACCGUACAGAUAAUUAGCUACAACACUCCAUUUCCUUUUCCUCACCAAAGUAGGUUAUAAACUAAAUUAUAAAUGGUAAAUGAUUAUGUCAAUGCAAAUGCAAAUAGAACUGAUUAUUGGAUGAUGUAUCAAAAUAAAAUAGCUAAAGCAACAAUGAAAUGAAAUGUAAAGUACGUAGUUCAAUACACACUAUACCAGUGUAUAAACUGAAAUAAGAAUAAAGUGAAAUAAAAUAAAAUAAAAAUAGAAUAAAUAAAUAAUUAUAUAAUAAAUAAGAGUACUUGAAUGAUAAGAUUAUAAUAAAAUUCACGCACAAUCAAAGCAUUUGGAUGGACAAAACCACCUAUCAUUGUAGAGAGAGCAAAACUUAAUUAAAAUAAAGUAAAAUAAGGUAAAAUAAAUCAUAUCCAUUAACUUUAAUUGAUCAGAAUGAAUGAGUGAAAGAAUAAUGAAUAAUGAAUAAUGAAUGAAUGAAUGGAACGAUUAAGGAAAUUAAAGAUUAAGGAAAAUAAAGAAGGUGAAUAAAGAAGAUAAUGAAAAUAAAGAAAAUAAAGAAGGUAAGAAGGCGUGAGUGAGAGCAAAAAGCAGGAAUGUGUCAGAACGCAUAAACAAUGAGAGAAUAAAAGAAUGACUGACUGGACAGUGAAAUAAUCAAUUAAAGAUAAUAAAGAAGAAUGAGGUAAAUAACCAGAUAAAUAAUAAGGCACAAAAUAUAAAGUGAAGGCUGUAACCAACAUAAUGUAAAUAAUGUCAUAUAAUGCGAUGUAAUGUAAUGUAAAACAAAAUGAUAUAUACUAAAAUAGAAUACAAAAUACAAGAAGUGAAUUCAGUGAAAUAUAACCGUAAAGAUUAUUAGCUACAACACUCUAUUUCCUCACCGAGUAGAUUAUAAACUAAAUUAUAAAUGGUAAAUGGUAAAUGAUAAAUGAUUAUGUCAAUGCAAAUGCAAAUAGAGCUGGUUAUUGAAUGACGUAUCAAAAUAAAGUAACUAAAGUGACCAAGAAAUCAAAUCAAAUCAAAUGUAAACUGCGUAGUUCGAUAAACACCAUACCAGUGUAUAGACUAACAAUAAAUAAAUAAAUAAGUAAAUAAGUAAAUAAGGAUACUUAAAUGAUAAGAUUAUAACAAACCCUGCACCAUCAAAGCAUUUGAAUGGACAAAACCACUCAUCAUCAUAGAAAUAAAAACUAAAGUAAAAUAAAUCAUAUCAUAUCCAUUAAUUUAACUUUAAUUGAUCAGAAUGAAUGAAUGAAUGAAUGAGUUAAUGCAUAAUGACUGAAUGAAUGGGAAGAUUAAGGAAAUGCAAGAUUUAGAAAAAUAAAGAAGGUAAGGAAGGUAACGUGAGUGAAAGAAGGCGUGAAUGAAAGCAAGAAAGCGUGAAUGUAAUACAAUAUUAUAAGUAAGUAAGUAAAGGAAAGGAAAGUAAAUGAGCACCCACCACGCAACAAAUAAACUACACAAAACUAUUUACACCAAAAGCACAAAAGCAAUCCCUCAUCACACCAUAUCAUUAAAACAAACACACUAAACCUGAAAUAAACUAAAACAAAACAAAACAAAACAAAACUGGAACUGGAACAAGAGGAACAAUUAAAAACACAACCCGGAUUGUCCAAUUUAUUUAUUUAUUAAUCAAUUCAAUUUAUUUCAGCACAUGUCACUGCUGCAUCGUCCAAAAUGAAAUAUGUAAGCCACGAUAUAAGAAAGAAAUAAAGGAAUAAAUACGAUGAAUACUAUGAAUGAGAUAAUCGAAUAUCAAAAUCGAAAGAACAAGAAAAGUAAACCACGUAACCACGUAACCAAUAAACACGUUAAACACGUUGCACCACGGAUAUGAAUCGAUGAAAAUGACAAAUAUAAUAAAAUAAAAUAAAUAAACCAAACAAUAAGCCGAACAACCGGAUGACAAGCGGACUACGUAUUGAAUCACAAAAUAAAGGAAAUAAAUAAA